rnacentral:rRNA from 1 species
UACGGGGGGGGCAAGCGUUGUUCGGAAUUACUGGGCGUAAGGGGCUCGUAGGCGGCCAACUAAGUCAGACGUGAAAUCCCCAGGCUCAACCUGGGAACUGCGUCUGAUACUGGAUGGCUUGAGUCCGGGAGAGGGAUGCAGAAUUCCAGGUGUAGCGGUGAAAUGCGUAGAUAUCUGGAGGAAUACCGGUGGCGAAGGCGGCAUCCUGGACCGGCAUUGACGCUGAGGAGCGAAAGCCAGGGGAGCAAACGGG